GACGAGCGCUGGCGGCGUGCUUAACACAUGCAAGUCGAACGGUAAGGCCCUUCGGGGUCCCCGAGUGGCGAACGGGUGAGUAACACGUGGGUAAUCUGCCCUGCACAUCGGGAUAAGCCUGGGAAACUGGGUCUAAUACCGAAUAGGACCACAGGACACAUGUCCUGUGGUGGAAAGCUUUUGCGGGGUGGGAUGGGCCCGCGGCCUAUCAGCUUGUUGGUGGGGUGAUGGCCUACCAAGGCGACGACGGGUAGCCGGCCUGAGAGGGUGUCCGGCCACACUGGGACUGAGAUACGGCCCAGACUCCUACGGGAGGCAGCAGUGGGGAAUAAUGCACAAUGGGCGAAAGCCUGAUGCAGCGACGCCGCGUGGGGGAUGACGGCCUUCGGGUUGUAAACCUCUUUCACCAUCGACGAAGGUCCGGGUUUUCUCGGGCUGACGGUAGGUGGAGAAGAAGCACCGGCCAACUACGUG
rnacentral:rRNA from 1 species